rnacentral:rRNA from 1 species
CUAGGCCUACGGGGGGCAGCAGUGGGGGAUAUUGCACAAUGGGGGAAACCCUGAUGCAGCGACGCCGCGUGAGCGAUGAAGUAUUUCGGUAUGUAAAGCUCUAUCAGCAGGGAAGAAAAUGACGGUACCUGGCUAAGAAGCCCCGGCUAACUACGUGCCAGCAGCCGCGGUAAUACGUAGGGGGCAAGCGUUAUCCGGGUUUACUGGGUGUAAAGGGAGCGUAGACGGCGAUGCAAGUCUGGAGUGAAAGGCGGGGGCCCAACCCCCGGACUGCUUUGGAAACUGUAUAGCUGGAGUGCAGGAGG